GCGGCUGCGCUGCGGCGUGCGACCGGUUGGGAGGGGGUUGCGAGGGACGCUGCGAAACUUCGUCCUCCGGUGGGAGGCCCGAGGCGGGGACCACCUGAGCCUGAAGUCUGGACGGUCCAGGUUCCAGAUGGGGAGGGCGUGCGGGUGCGGCCGGCGCGCGGACCCGAGAGCCUGCGGGGUGGCCGGCGGCCGGGGCCGGGACCUGCGCGCAGCGCCCUCCGGCUUCGUCGCCCCUUCUAGGUCCCCCAGGAGCCCAUCCCUUGCCUAGGCUCCGCGCCCCUGGCGUUUCCCUGGCCCCGGGCGGGGAGCCGGGGGUCCCCGGGUCUGAUAGAGCUGCCCAUUGCCCUCCUUACCUGGCGGCAGAGCCCCUGUCGCCCCCGGAUCCUUGGAGGCGUGGAGGCGACGAGUGUGACAUGGCCCCUUCCCCGCAGACGCCGCGGCUUCCUGCCCUAUUUCUUAAUCCACAUGUUAGCAGUUACCGCAUCGCACCCACCUGAUGAAAGGAUGACUUUGGGAAUCAAGUUGAAAUAUGGAAUUGUAUGUUUUAUUCGUCAUGGUCAUAGGCUCUAAACAUGUUAUAUGCGGGCUCUGAAAGUUUCCGUGCAAGUGAGCACCCUUUGUGUUUCCUUGCUUUGCAAUUGAGCUGCGUUCGAUUUGGCAUCUCUUCUGGGUGUUGUCGCAUUAAAGAAAUAUAAGCUUCGCAGCAACUCCAGUUCGGUGAAGAGGACUUACUUGUAAAACAUAAUAAAGACAGUUUUCCCAUUUUAGGGUGACUGGGAAUGUCAGCAAGAAUAAGUGGCUCAUUUCCUGAUGGCUUUUCAUGUGCACUGACACGCUGUUUGUGAUGGCCUCCGAGGCCGAGAAGACCCAGGCUUUACUCCAGUCUUGUAGCGCUCAGUCUCUGCUCUCCAGCCUCGGUCUGGGGAUAUUCUGCCUCGUAGCUGACAGACUUCUGCAGUUUUCCAUAAUUCAGCAAAAUGCCUGGCUUCGCGCCCUCUCCGAUAAUGCAGUGCAUGGUGUGAUUGGCAUGUGGUCCUGGGCAAUAGUCAUUGGAAUCAAGAAGAAGACUGACUUGAGAGAAAUCUUUCUAGCUGGAUUUUUAGCCUCUGUUAUUGACGUAGACCACUUUUUACAAGCUAGGUCCCUAUCUUUAAAGGCUGCUUUGACUCUUCCACGAAGACCCUUCCUUCACUGCUCUACGGUGAUACCCGCCGUGGUUCUGACCCUCAAGUGUACCAUGCACCUCUUCAAGCUCAAAGACUCCUGGUGCUUCCUUCCCUGGAUGGUCUUCAUUUCCUGGACCUCACACCAUAUCCGAGACGGCCUUCGUCACGGCCUGUGGCUGUGCCCAUUUGGAAAAACUCCUCCCUUGCCACUCUGGCUUUAUGUCGUAAGCACAGCAUCUUUACCUCACAUCUGUUCCAUGGUCAUGUAUUUAACAGGGACAAGACAGGUGAUGUCUUCAAAACACGGAAUUCGUAUUGAUGUCUGAGGUAACCAUGCAGUGCCUCAGAGAAACAAAUGGUUUGGACAUUGAUAAUUAAGGAUAUCCAAUAUUAAAGGGAAUUUUAGAAAACAUAUUAGGUACUUAUAUUAAUUACUAUAAUUCCUGAAUCCUCUUGCUCAGGAGGCAUGUACAAUUUUUUAAAAUGAUAUGUUUGUUGUAAUUCUGUUUUUUCUCUGUAACAGUUUCAUGCAGUAUUAGAGUUCCAUUUAUUCCAUUUCUAUUUUUAUUGUUUCUUCUGUGUAUCUGGCUUUACUAAUAGCUUGAUUAGAUUAACAUCCAGUUAAGUUUUCUGGAAGUAGAGUUUUAAGGUAAUUGAUUUCCUGAUGAAAAAUAGUUCAAAUUUUAGGGUGAAUAGUUUGUGGAAGAUUAGCAUGAUGUUUGGAUCCUCUUUUUCCUGAGAUACUGAAACAGUGAAAAGGCCAAAGUUAAUGAGACCGUGAGUAAGAUGUACUAGUAUAGUGAAUGCUAACACUUCCUUCUACCCAUCUGUGUGGACCCCGACGGGAGUGGAAUUGCCAAGUGCUUUGGUGAGUUGUGGUUACUGACAGGAUCAGCACCAGUGCAGUUGUGCUGAAAUUAUUAUGACAUUCAUAAAAGGCAGUAACCAAGAUUAGAUCUAGGUUAUCUAUAUAUAUAAAACCCUAAUAUGCAAAUAGACUGAAUGGUGGAACAACUGAACAACCGGUCGCUAUGAUGUGUGCUGACUACCAGGGGGUGCGCGUGGAACAUGGCAGGUGAGCAGGGGCGCCAGACCAAGGCAGGGCACCAGUCGCUGUCAUCGGGACGAGCCUCUGGUGGUUACUGAAAAUUCUUUGCUCCCGCGCGCCGCGGUCCCACCCGGCGCUCGCACCCGCUGCUGGCACCAUUGCUGGCACUGGCCCCGCUUGCACCUGCUGCUAAUGCUAGAGCCACCGCUCACACCCACUGCCGGCGCCGGGCGCGAGUCCCCAUCGCUCAGCACCGUCAGCGGGUGCGAGCAGUGACUGCCAGCCCCAGUCACCCCUGAGGGCUUCUCCACCUCCCCCUGCUCCUGAGGGGCGAUCAGGGCAGCAGCCGCCACUCGCAUCCACUGAUGGCACCGGCUCCGCUUGCACCUGCUGAUGGCGCAGAGUGAGUGGGGCUGGUGCCAGCAGCGGGUGCGAGCAGGGCUGGUGCCAUCAGCGCAUGGGAGUGGCUGCCGGCAGCCGGGACCAGGGGCCAUGGCGGGAGGGGCCGGGCAGGGGUGCAGAGGAUGAGCCGAGACCUGCCCCUGUGCCCACCACAGCCUCGCGGCCCACAGUUCCUUUCAAGGUACACGAAUUUGUGCACUGGGCCCCUAGUUGUCUCAGAAAUCACUUUAGGAAAUUAUUGCAAUAUGUCAGUUAUAGUAACAUCUUCCUGAAGUAUUAUUAUGUCAGUAUCUUUGCCCAAAAAUCUCAUGUGUUAGGGUUUUAACUGUUUUGAAAAACCUAACUAAAUUUAACAAAAUAUUUGCUAAGAAUUAACAUGAACAAAGUAUUGCUACUUGGCUCAUAAUAUAGAAUUUGAAUUCACACACAAAAAAUAACUUACCAGUAAUGUCAUUUUGAAUGUGACCUCCUGGAUGUGUCAUUAAAAUUGUUUUAGUUGCUGUCAAUUUCUUUAUACACUCCUCUAAAAUAUUAUACCAGUUAAACAGUUUUUUAAAAAAUCUGCCCAAUACUGAGAGACAAAACAGCUUUUCUGAAAAUAAAACUGUUCUAGAAAAUUUGAUUUUUCCUUUUAUUCUUCUAGAUUGGUUGUCUGUUAAAAAUGGCCAGCCUGUAUUAGCGAAGGGAAUUGGGUUGCUGUGAGUUUUACAUCUGCAGCGUGUCAUGUUACUUUGAUAUAAAAGCCAGGGCCCCAGAGGCACCGCUUUUGUUUGCACACGUGCACCAUCUGCUGUCUUGGCAAAGGAAUGUCUUUAAAACAUAGGGCCUUAUUUAAGAAUGCCACAUCGGCUUUGGGGGUUGUUCUACCUUCCUAUGAGAAUGGGAGUUCACUUUGACCACGACUCUCUGCUUCUACAGUAACUGCAGAUUGUAAGUGUGGGUUAGCUCUGUUCUUACCUCUGCCAUCAGAAAUGGUUCUUGUCCUAAAGCUGUGGCUGCAGCGUCUAGAAAUAUAACAACCAACUUCCCAUUCCCAGCUGCCAUUGUGUUCCUUUCUUAGUGAAGGAGUUCGUGUCAAUACUUGAGAUGGAAAGUUGGCUUGUACCUCGUUUGUGUUUGUUUUCCCAGGAUUUCUCCUCCGGACUCCAGUCAUGAAGCCAUAGCCCAUAAGGAGUUUCUUUUCCUAAUUACUGACUCCCUCUCCUCAUUAUGUGACUCACCGAACACGAAAUUGUACUGACACAGGACCUCAGAGAAAUCUAGUUAUUAUUUUGCCUUGAUGCAGACUAGCUUAUAAGUCAUUCCACAAUGAUGAAUAUUCUUAGUCUUAGGCUCUCCUGAGAAACGCUGUUUGCCACUUCUCUUCACAAACGGUUACUAUAUUUUUUUAAUGUCCGUUUCAUGUGAUAAAAGACAUACUGUAUUUAAUCCUAGUGAAAUAUGUUAAGAAUGUGGUAAGGGGUGGAUUUUGAUUUAGUUUUGUUAUGAAUUUACAGAUAUUAUUUUGUUAUUAGGUACUUUUUGCCUCGAGACAUCAAGAAAUGCUUAUUUCUAAUUAUUGCAAGUUAUUAUAACUAUUGUAAUGAUGUUAUAGAAAUAAACCUUUAUUUAAAUGUAAACCCCAAAGCACUGAAUCUAAUUAAAAUGUAAGAGAAAA